AGUGAACGCUGGCGGCGUGCCUAAUACAUGCAAGUCGAACGGAGUGGCGCACGGGUGAGUAAUGUAUAGCUAAUCUGCCCUACACUAGAGGACAACAGUUGGAAACGACUGCUAAUACUCUAUAGUGUAGGAUGAGGCUAUAUUGUAUCAGCUAGUUGGUGAGGUAAUGGCUCACCAAGGCUAUGACGCAUAAUUGGUCUGAGAGGAUGAUCAGUCACACUGACCCUGAAUCACUAUCCAUACUCCUACGGCAGUCAGCAGUAGGGAAUAUUGCUCAAUGGGGGAAGCCCUGAAGCAACACCGCCGCUUGUAGGAUGACACUUUUCGGAGCGUAAACUCCUUUUGUUAGGGAAGCGGUACCUAACGAAUAAGCACCGGCUAGCUCCGUGCCAGCAGCCGCGGUAAUUC
rnacentral:rRNA from 1 species